GAAUUGCAGAAUCCCGUGAACCAUCGAGUCUUUGAACGCAAGUUGCGCCCGAAGCCAUUAGGUUGAGGGCACGUCUGCCUGGGCGUCACAUAUCGUUGCCCGAUGCCUAUUGCAGUGUGAUAGGAAUUUUUAGGGCGAAUGAUGGCUUCCCGUGAGCGUUGUUGCCUCGCGGCUGGUUGAAAAUUGAGUCCUUGGUGGGGUGUGCCAUGAUAGAUGGUGGUCGAGUUAGCACGAGACCCAUCAUGUGUACGCUCCCCAUAAUAUGGCUUCGAUGACCCACAUGCGUCUUUUGACUCUCAUGACGAGACCUCAGGUCAGGCGGGGCUACCCGCUGAAUUUAAGCAUAUCAAUAAGCGGAGGAAAAGAAACUAACAAGGAUUCCCUUAGUAACGGCGAGCGAACCGGGAAGAGCCCACCAUGAGAAUCGGCCGCCCUUGGCGUUCGAAUUGUA
rnacentral:rRNA from 1 species